rnacentral:lncRNA from 1 species
UACAUGCUGCCUGAAGAGAAGUGUGUCCUUUGUAAAAGUUAUCAGUCUUACCUAUAACUUUUUGAAAGUUAUGCAAGUAACAAAAGAUGACAAUGUUGCCAUAAAAGAUUCAAAUGUAGAGCCACACACAGCAAGAUGGAAAGGGUCCUUGAGGGCCAUUGAGCAUUGAGGCUCUCCUAUUUUACGCCAAGGACAAUAGCUUGGUGUAGGUCAUUUCACCCUCUACCUCCUCUCCUGUGCUCCAGAUAGUUCGGAAGGAGAAGUCAAUGGUUUUUCCUUUUAAUGUUCACUCCCUCUCUCUUCUUUUCAAUAGUUACUGAAAAUCUCCUAUGGACCAGACACCAUAACCAUGGCAGGCACCAUGCCAGCCACUAAGUGGAACGAAGUCAACUGAUUCAUUCAACAGUUAAAUUCAUGACUAUGAUUCUUGCUCACCCAUCAUCAAGCUGAUCAAUUCUUGAUCAACCAUAUAGUAAACCAUGCUAGACGCUGAGUAACACAGAGAAGCAUCGAGAUGAGCCCACAGUUAGGUAUGACCAGACUAAUAGACCAGCACUUAAGAGUGAGGCACUGUAGAGUUUGCAUGAAAUCAUAAGGAUAAUAAGAGAUCAGAGUAUCUGGACCAGAGGAGGGCUGCAUACAGCAGGACCCGGGUAUGGUGGAAAUGGAGGUCUGGCAAGUUCGGGAAAGCUUGGUGAAUCUUGGUGAAGAGGGCACAGGAGGUCAACUUAGGCAGGAGAAACAGAAGGAGCAAAGGUGUGAAAGGGAAGAUGAGCAUAGCAGGAGCAAGAGAGAGUGAGGAAAUCAGUUGGCUCCAGAAUAGGGUGCAGUGGAAAAUACUGUUGAACAUGUAUGGAUGGUCUAACUUUUUAACUCUGAGUUUUGAAAACCAGGCAGAGAUAUUUGGACUUGAUAUAAUAAGAAGAGGGAGCUGUGCCAGAUUUUUUUUUUCAUUUUAUUUGUAAAAUGUUCAUAUAUCAGGAAUAGUUCAAAGAAUUGUACACUUAACACCCUACACACAUCAUGUGGACUCUGUAAUUUACAAGUCAAUGUAUUUGCUUUAUCCCUGUCUAAUCAUCCCUGUACCUAGUUAUUAACCUGCCUUGUGUUUUUGGCUUGUUUUGGGUUUUGGUUUUGUGGUAGAUUUUUAAUUCCUAUUCUUUCAAAGGAAUCUUGAGUCCUUUGCCAAGUUCCGCAAGAAUACUUAUGGAAUUGUGAUAGGCAUUACACAAAACUUGUCAAUCCAUGUGAAAGGUAUUUACAUUUUUUUAAUUAUCUGGUUUCCUUCUCAGGAAACUAGUCUCAGCAAGGUUUUGUGUUUUAUAUUUCAUUCUUCCUCCUUGCGUGGGUUUCGCCAAUUCAUGAUCAAACGUAUUCUUAGGUCUUUUAUUGGUGAUGUGAAUAUCUUCCCCUCCAACCAGCGUUUUAUGUUUCUAACUGAUGGCCCGGAUCUUUCAUCUUUUGUUUUCUCCUAGCCAGACUUUGUUCAUCUUGCAUGUUUCUCAUAUCCAAGACUCCACGAUAACCUGGAUUCACAGUGCCAGGUACAGGCCUGAGAUGAGGCAACCAUACACACAAACUAGCCUUCUUCUUAACAGUCCAUUGUUAGUUAUUCAUAAGAAAAGACAUAUUUCUCAGUACUUGUUUACUCUUUUGCUAACUUAACAUAGAGAAUAACCAUUUACUCAAAAAAGUUAAAGAGUCGGGGAAUAGAAGACCUGGCAAUUGACAAAAAUUUACAGCCCAAAGUAAGUCUAUGGCCUUCUUCAACAGUUGGUAGCAUUCAUUUCUGGAAUUAAACAUUUAUUUUCUUUAGAGAAUAAAAAGCUGGAAUACAAAGACUGGUUAUUUAAAAGUAAAGAUGAAAGAGAGGGGAUGUGAGAAAAUGUCAUUUUCAUCUAAAACAGAUAAUCAAAUGGAAAGCUGUGUGGCACAUACUUUGAGCAAGACAAGGCCAUCUUUCCCUUCAGUCAUAGUCCUUGAGUCAACAAUGAAUGGUCAGAACUUUUAAAUAAAUAUUUCUUUUUCAGCUAAGUACAGAAUAUAAAUGUUUUCAUUUUGCUUUAAAAUUCAUUUUAUAGUGAAUAGAUUUAAGUGUUUCAAAAAGCAAAUGACUAUAAUUAGGAAUUUCACUCCCUCUUGUUCUUCAUGGCCACUCCCUAUAAUUUAUUUAUCUACUUAUUUAUGUACGUAUUUAUUUAUAGAGAGCACACUUUAGUAGAUUUGCACUUCCUCCCAGUGUUUCCUUACCCAAAUACAAAUACCUCUUUGUAUUUUUUUCACUUUUAUAUUCUAAAGUGAGCAUGGUACACACAUUGAUCUAAGCUUGCUUUUUCUCUGAACCAGAGUGGGUUUUUUGUUGCACUUUACUGGAAAGUCAGUUUUAUGAUAUUGGCCCAUGACAUUGGAAUUUACAUGUGCAUCGUUAUUCACCACUGACAGUUUCAGAGGGACAAAACUAAGUAAAGGACUGAGGGAUGCGUAAAGAAUCCAGCCUCUGAGGGGCAUUUGCUUUUGGAAAGGUGCUGAACUCUUUCACUGAAAGGAUAAAGCCUCCAAUGGAUUGGUAAGGAGGUUUGUUUAUUUGACUUAAACCAGUAUCCCCACUAUAACUGAAUUAUGCUCUCAGUAGAGCCCGUUUUAAAGAGCUGUGCUCAAAGAGCCCAAUGCAUGGGUCUCAUCGUUGAAAGGAUGAGCCUUGCUCAGACAGAAACCCUCAAAACCACAAACUGUACGCGCACCUCAGCAGUCCUCCCACCUAGGCAGUAAUUAUCAGAAGACUGUAUAUUUAGCUCAGUAUUUAGAGGCCUGGGGCAUGGGAAGCAGGGCAUUGUAAAAUCACAGGUUAUUUAAAUCUACAUGGAAAU